GGACCUGUUGUGUAGUGGUUCAUCACAUUCGCUUUACAUUUGUUAUGUUGUCGCGAAAGGUCCCCAGUUCGAUCCUGGGCGGGUUCA